rnacentral:rRNA from 1 species
UACGUAGGGGGCGAGCGUUGUCCGGAAUGACUGGGCGUAAAGGGUGCGUAGGCGGCCCGAGAGGUCCUGGGUGAAAGGCCCCGGCUCAACCGGGGAGGGCCCCAGGAAACCGGCGGGCUAGAGGGCUGGAGAGGGCCGCGGAAUUCCCGGUGUAGAGGUGAGAUUCGUAGAUAUUCGCAAGAACACCAGUGGCGAAGGCGGCUCACUGGCCCGAUACUGACGCUGAGGUACGAAAGCGUGGGGAGCAAACAGG